rnacentral:lncRNA from 1 species
GUAACAGAUUAGACCUCUGUGUUUAGGUCAGAAAAGAGGUCGUGUGACUAUUCUAAUCCGGUGAUUACAGAUCAAUCUUUUUUGAUAUAGAAAUUGUUUCACGAUAUGAUAGCACUUUGGAUAAGUUUUUUCGAGUUUGCCUUUCACUUGAUAUGCUGUUUAAAUCUAAGCAUGAAAUGGCACUUAGCAUAACUUUCUGCCAGUUCACCUUUCACCAUUAGAAUGGCAUGUUCAUCAAUUGACAGUGUCUCAGGAUCUAGUUCUUUUCUUUCACUACAUUCAGCUUCUUUCAAAUCGAUUUCUCAAGAUUUAGAUUCUCCUUUCCCUGCUGAAUCUGGAAGAUAUUAUCUUUUUUUGUCAUUUGCUUGUCCUUGGGCAUGCAUGUGUCUCACACACAUGAAGAGUAGAGGACUUGACAAAAUCCCUGGGCAUACUGGUACUUGCAUAGUCAGUUUCUGAGUUCACUCAUGCUAUUUUUAUUUGAUCAGUUUUGAGUUAAAUUAUCUUAGAUACACGUGUAUCGGAUGGAUUCUCCCACAAUUCCAAAGAACCUGAAGCAGAGCCUGAUUCUACUUAUGGAGGCAAAAGUAUCAGAGAACUGUAUGAGCUUGCAAGUACAAACUACUGUGGAAAAUACUCCUGUACAUGUGAGUAACAUUUAUUGCAGUGUUCGUUUCCGCUAAUACCUAAUGCGUUUUAAGCUUGCAAGUUAUAGUGCUACAUAUGUUCUGCAGAUUAUGGCAGAUUUUAUUGGAUAAAAAGCUGCAAUUGUUUGAAAAUGAGAGCUCCAUGAAUUUUGCAUGCUUAAUUCUAAGCUCCUUAGUUUGGCUGAUAAUGGAGACUUUGAUCUUUAUCCUCCUCACUGCAAGCCCAAAGCGAAGGAGCUAACUAAUGGAUGCAUGACAGUAUAAACAUUGGUGCUUACAAGUGCAGGGUUGCAAAGCAGCAGGUGCCUUAUGAAGUGGUACUUCUCCAUCACUGUAAAUUAUCGGCCUCUAUAUUUGGAAUAGCAAUUUGCAUGCUUUUUAGUUAUUAUGAUCAGAAUGGUAGCACAUCCCUCUUGUUUGCUGUGGACAACAUGUUGAUUGUAGACUAGUAACUGACAUGUUGAACCGAGUUCUCCUCCUCUCUUCUGCUCUUAACUUUUACAGGAUUGUGAUCUAUGACUGAGUGAUAAUGUGGAAAUCAAUGAGAUGAAAAAGCAACUUGGUUGAAUUUAAUAGACAGCUAUAUUAGUAAUACUGAGAAGACUUUAAUUUGUGAAUGGUUUUAAAUUAUGUAAUAGUUCUAUGGGACAACCUAUUUUAUCAACUUCUGCUAAGAAGCAAAUGAUCUUAUGCACAAGUGACAUUGAAUUAUUUCUGGACAGAUUUAUUUUUCUGUUUUGACAGGCAGUUUUGGGGCUUGAAGUCAACCCUGUUAAAAUAAAUUUGACUCUCACAAGUUCCUUGGAAGAUCAAACAGCUGUUGAUAUUUUGGGUUGUAAACUUGGAUAUUUUCCUAUAGGAGGGAUCACUAGAAUGAUUCAUACUCUAAGUACUAAGAUUAUCAUGCCAUAAUAUGAUAAUUGUAUAUAAAUGAACCUCUUCAUCAAACAAAAGAAGGGAAUUAGUGGUAAUUUCUUUAGGAACAAAGAAAGCUAUCUGUCACAUGAAAGAGAUGCAAAGGAAAUAUUUUUCUCGUGUUAACGAUAACUAAGGAGGUAAAAAAUUCAAAGGAAGUUUAAAAAGUAGACCUCUGGGAAGCUGGAUUCUCUCACCAACAGAUUAGACCCCUGUUCCAUUGUCAGAAAAGAUGCAAUGUUUCAAUGAUGUGAUUUCUUGAUGAUAGUAUUUGUAUGGAAGUAUCAUUUUCAUAUUGAAUUAGCUUUAUCUCCAUGGCCAAAUUUGGACCCUUCAGUUCAUGGUUCUGGACUUAUGUGUGUGCUACUUGUGUAAGAAGUUUCAAAUGACAUAAGGGCGGAUGUUCUUGCUAGGUAGUAUGAUUUUAU